rfam:Salpingoeca sp. ATCC 50818 unplaced genomic scaffold supercont1.5, whole genome shotgun sequence.
AUACUUACCUGCACGUCUCGCAUGCUGGAUCACGCAGCAGCUGCGGGGUUGGCGAGAGUUGGGCAUUGCACGCGGCCCAGCUUGACCUGACUGAACAUCACGAAUGUGGUGUCUCAACGUGGCAAUUUUUGCCCAGGCAGGUGUGGCGUUCGCGCCCUCCUGCU